rnacentral:rRNA from 1 species
UCUGCCUGGUAGUGGGGGAUAACGUCCGGAAACGGGCGCUCAUACCCCAUACGUCCUCAGGGAGAAAGUGGGGGAUCUUCACACCUCACGCUAUCAGAUGACCUUACGUCCCAUUCCCUAGUUGGUGGGGUAAAGGCCUACCAAGGCGACGAUCCGUAACUGUUCUGAAAGGAUGAUCAGUCCAACUGGACCUGACCCACGUUCCACUCUUCUACGGGAGGCAGCAGUGGGGAAUAUUGGACAAUGGGCGAAAGCCUGAUCCAGCCAUGCCGCGUGUGUGAAGAAGGUCUUCGGAUUGUAAAGCACUUUAAGUUGGGAGGAAGGGCAGUAAGUUAAUACCUUGCUGUUUUGACGUUACCAACAGAAUAAGCACCGGCUAACUUCGUGCCAGCAGCCGCGGUAAUACGAAGGGUGCAAGCGUUAAUCGGAAUUACUGGGCGUAAAGCGCGCGUAGGUGGUUCAGCAAGUUGGAUGUGAAAUCCCCGGGCUCAACCUGGGAACUGCAUCCAAAACUACUGAGCUAGAGUACGGUAGAGGGUGGUGGAAUUUCCUGUGUAGCGGUGAAAUGCGUAGAUAUAGGAAGGAACACCAGUGGCGAAGGCGACCACCUGGACUGAUACUGACACUGAGGUGCGAAAGCGUGGGGAGCAAA